rnacentral:tRNA from 1 species
AUUUAUAUAGCUUAAUUAAAGAGUAAAGUAUUGAAGAUACUUAGGUAGUUGUUUAAACUUGUGAAUA